GAGGAGACGUUUCAACAUCACGGACCAUCAUCAUCAUCAUCAUUGUCUAGUUGCAGAACAGUUGACCACAAGUUUCCACAAGUUUCCUCCAGUAACUAGGAUCACUAUCCAUCAUCAUGGUCAUCAUGUGACCAGCACAGAGGAGAAAGGGCUGUUGCUACCUUCCAGUCGAACCAAGAUUGAUGACCAAUCAAUGAAUGUCCCACUUCAAUAUGAAUGGACAGAGGAGCAAACAUGCCUUUGCACAGGAGCAAGAAGGCCUUUGCUACCACUCGUGUGUGUUCCAUUGUAGUUGAAAGUGUCAUGAAAAGCCAGAAACCUCAGGAGGUUGAUGUGUUGCAGACCCAUUGGAAAGUCCUCAAAUAUACCCCUGAUCGCCAUGGUGGAGGAGGAUGCAAAUCUUCAAGAGGGCCACUACGCUCCAGAUCACCUUCUGUGCUCAGAGGUCUUUGAUGAGGAUCUACCCCAUCACACUGCUUUUAUAAAUCAUUAAUACAAUAAAAAAAAUGCA